CGCACGGGUGAGUAACACGUAUCCAACCUGCCGUCUACUCUUGGCCAGCCUUCUGAAAGGAAGAUUAAUCCAGGAUGGCAUCAUGAGUUCACAUGUCCGCAUGAUUAAAGGUAUUUUCCGGUAGACGAUGGGGAUGCGUUCCAUUAGAUAGUAGGCGGGGUAACGGCCCACCAAACCUUCGAUGGAUAGGGGUUCUGAGAGGAAGGUCCCCCACAUUGGAACUGAGACACGGUCCAA
rnacentral:rRNA from 1 species